rnacentral:rRNA from 1 species
AUUGAACGCUGGCGGAAUGCUUUACACAUGCAAGUCGAACGGUAGAGGGGGCAACCCCCUUGAGAGUGGCGAACGGGUGAGUAAUAUAUCGGAACGUGCCCAGUCGUGGGGAUAACGUAGCGAAAGUUACGCUAAUACCGCAUACGAUCUACGGAUGAAAGCGGGGGGACUCGCAAGAGCCUCGCGCGAUUGGGANCGGCCAUAUCAGAUUAGGUAGUUGGUGGGGUAAAGGCUNACCAAGCCAACGAUCNGUAGCUGGUCUGAGAGACGACCAGGCCAC